rnacentral:rRNA from 1 species
CGCCUGUUUAACAAAAACAUGUCUUUAAGGGUAUGAUUUAAAGUCUGGCCUGCUCAAUGAGUAUUUAAAUGGCUGCGGUAUUUUGACUGUACAAAGGUAGCAUAAUAAUUAGUUUUUUUAUUGGGAACUGGAAUGAAUGGUUAGACGAGGGUUUUGUUGUCUUUAUUUUAAAUAUAGAAUUUUAUUUUUAAGUUAAAAAGCUUAAAUUUUUUAAUGGGACGAGAAGACCCUAUAGAUUUUUAUAAGUUGAUUGAUCUUUUUUAUUAGAAUUUAUUGUAGAUUUAUUUGUUUAUUUGGUUGGGGUGAUUGGUAAAUUUAUUUAACUUUAUUUUUAUUUAACAAUAAUUGUUGAGUUUUUGAUCCUUUAUUUUUGAUUAGAAGUUUAAAUUACCUUAGGGAUAACAGCGUAAUUUUUCUUUAAAGUUCUUAUUUGUGGAAAAGUUUGCGACCUCGAUGUUGGAUUAA